rnacentral:rRNA from 1 species
AUUGAACGCUGGCGGCAUGCCUUACACAUGCAAGUCGAACGGCAGCACGGGCUUCGGCCUGGUGGCGAGUGGCGAACGGGUGAGUAAUACAUCGGAACGUGCCCUGUAGUGGGGGAUAACUAGUCGAAAGAUUAGCUAAUACCGCAUACGACCUGAGGGUGAAAGCGGGGGACCGUAAGGCCUCGCGCUACAGGAGCGGCCGAUGUCUGAUUAGCUAGUUGGUGGGGUAAAAGCCUACCAAGGCGACGAUCAGUAGCUGGUCUGAGAGGACGAUCAGCAACACUGGGACUGAGACGCGGCCCAGACUCCUACGGGAGGCAGCAGUGGGGAAUUUUGGACAAUGGGGGCAACCCUGAUCCAGCAAUGCCGCGUGUGUGAAGAAGGCCUUCGGGUUGUAAAGCACUUUUGUCCGGAAAGAAAUCGCGCUGGUUAAUACCUGGCGUGGAUGACGGUACCGGAAGAAUAAGCACCGGCUAACUACGUGCCAGCCGCCGCCGUAAUAC